GGCGCUGCAGCUUAGAGGUUAAAGCGCCUGUCUCGUAAACAGGAGAUCCUGGGUUCAAAUCCCAGCAGUGCCU
rnacentral:tRNA from 1 species